rnacentral:lncRNA from 1 species
CAGCAAACACUUCAAGAAUUUACUGCUAUUGCUUUUCAGAUAAAUGACUUGGGGUGUGAAAAACAGCACAUCCGCCCUGUGGUUGAGCAUUGUUUUCUGCUUUCAGCAGCCUGAAGCCAUAGUUUUUAGUUUCUGUCUCUAGUGAUAAGCGAAAAAGAGGGAGGAGGAAGGGGAUUUACUGGCCCAACCAGAAACAGAAACUAAGAACCCAUGACUGUGUUCUCUCCCUUGGAUACUCCUGGAAGUGAUAAAAAGAGAAAGACUUAUAUUUUCCUGGAGAUCCCAAGGAAGCCAUGCUCAUCUUUGUUCCUCAAUGCUGGCCAAAAAUUUCGCCUCCCCUUGAAACAGGGGAAAGAGGGUGCAUUUGUAUGAUAGAACCCUUGUCCUAACACAUUGCUGAGAAUAGGAAAUCAGGACACCCUAGAGGCAAUUACAUAAAUCUUCUGCAAUAUCCUCAACAAGUCACCGUCUAAUCUCUGCCUGUACACCAACAGUGAUGCAGAACGUACUAACUCCCCAAAGAGACCAAUCUACUUUUGAACAUCUUUCUUUUCUCCUUAUGAUAAAGAGAAACUUAUAAAGUCUUCUACUGAGAAUGAAGCUUCAAGUAAAGAAAAGAAAAAUACAACACAAACCUUGGAUUUCAGAAUCAGAUUUGGGACAAAUGACUAGCUUUAUCUUUCCAAUAGCUAUGUGACUUUGUGAAUUUAUUUAACUUUUCUGAGCCUGUACUAUAAAGGGAAAUAAUGAUUGCCAACUCCUGAAAUUGUUAAGAAUGAUGAUAAUGAAAAUAAUAGCUAACUCUUACUGGCUAUAUUACUGUUUGUCAGGUCUAUACAUUGUUUCACAUACUUCUAACAAGAACCCCAUAAAGUGGAUACCAAUGUUAUCCCCACUUUUCAGUUGAAGAAACAGAGGCAAAGAGGCUUAGAAACUUGCUGAUGGCCACACAGUUGCACUUAACCACUCUUCUAGACAGGCUUUUUAUAAAAGAGAGUUCCUAUCAAGGUCCAGCUAGUCCUGAUCCUGCUUAGCUCCAGUGUUCAGAAAAGACCAGGUAUUUUAAGGAGAUAAGGUGAUAGAAAAUGAAUAAGCUAAUAGACGUGACAGAGCUUCACACAUCAACACUACCACAGAGCUUGACAUAUCGAUACAUUUGAAUUCAUUUUACCUUCCAUCUUCUUCAGCUUAAGAAGCCACAAUUCUGCUAACAAUUCUCAGUAAGAAUUGUUUGAAAUUUCCUCUCAAUCCAGAUUUUUUUCUCUACUUGUGUUAUUUGUUUAUAUCCAUGAAGUACCUAUACUGAACUUAACACCCUGGGUCUAAUCUGACCAGCCUCAAUAUGAAUCCAUCAUCUCCCUUGUUUUUCAUGUGUGGUUUUUUGUUUUUUUGUGUUUUUUUUUGGUAGAGUCUCCCUCUGUUGCCCAAGCUGGAGUGCAGUGCCCUGAUCUCAGCUCACUGCAACCUCCGCCUCCAGUGUUCAAGUGAGUCUCCUACCUCAGCCUCCCAAGUAUCUGGGAUUACAGGCGCCCGCCACCAUGCCUGGUUAACUUUUUUGUAUUUUUAGUAGAGACAGGGUUUUACCAUGUUGGCCAGGCUGGUUUCGAACUCCUGACCUCAAGUGAUCCACCCGCCUCAGCCUCCCAAAGUGCUGGGAUAGCAGGUGUGAGCCACCACGCUCAGUCCAUCUUCCUUGUUUUGAAUGUGAAUAUUCUCAAUGUCAUCCAAAAUCACUUUAGCUUCGAGGGUAGCCACUGUUAUACCUUUGGUUCAUAAGCUUUAUCUCUUGCCUGCCUGGCACUGCUUCCUUCUUAAACCAAAGUAUCCUGUCUUAACAUGUAUUGGUACAAUUCUCUUAGAAAGCCAGUUGAUAAUAUAAAAAAGUACCUUAAAGAUGUAUAUCCCUUUGGCUACUAUCAAAAGAUGAGAGAUAACAAGUGUUGGUGAGGAUAUGGAGAAAAGGAAACUGUUGAUGGGCGUGUAGAUUGGUGCAGUCAUGAAAAAUAGUACAUAGGUUGCCACAUAAAUUAAAAUUAGAACUACCAUAUGACCCAGCAAUUUUCUUCUGGGUAUGCAUUCAAAAGAAAUAAAAUCACCACCUUGUAAAAAUAUCUGCAUUUUCAUGGUCACUGCAACAUUAUACACAAUAAAUAUCUGUCCACUGAGGGACAAAUGAAUAAACUGUGAUGUAUGGGUGUGUGUGUGUACAAUAUUAUUCAGUCUUAAAAGAGGAAAUCCUGCCAUUUACUACAACAUGAAUGAACUUGGAAGACAUUAUGCUAGGUGAAACAAGCCAGGCACAGAAAUAAAAAAAAAUUAUAUAAUCUCACUUAUAUGUGAAACCUAAAUUUUUAAAAAAGUCAAACACACAGAGAUAGAGAAUAAAACAGCGAUUACCAAGGACUGGGGGCUUGGGGCCAUGGGAGAUGUAGGUCAAAGUAUUCAAAGUAGCAGAUGCAGAGGAUAAGCAAGUCUAGAGAUCUAAUGUACAACAUAAGGACUGUAGUUAAUAAUAUUGUUUUGUAUUCAGGAUUUUUGUUUACUGAGUAGAUUUUAGCUGGUGUUGCUGCAAAAAUAAGGGUAACUAUGUGAUAUGAUGUAUAUGUUAACUUUCUUUACUAUAGUAACCAUUUUUCUACUUAUAUGUAUCCUAUACCUUCAUGUUGCAUACCUUAAAU